GCAGCCGCGGUAAUACGUAGGGGGCGAGCGUUAUCCGGAUUUAUUGGGCGUAAAGGGUGCGUAGGCGGUUUGUUAAGUCUAAAAUUAAAGCCUGUGGCUUAACCACAGUUCGUUUUAGAAACUGGCAGACUUGAGUAUGGUAGAGGCAAAUGGAAUUUCUAGUGUAGCGGUUAAAUGCGUAGAUAUUAGAAGGAACACCAGUGGCGAAGGCGGUUUGCUGGGCCAUUACUGACGCUGAGGCACGAAAGCGUGGGGAGCAAAUAGGAUUAGAUACCCC
rnacentral:rRNA from 1 species